CUCCUUCCGUUGAUAUCCUUUCAAGCCAAUAAAUUAGUUCCUCUGCGGUUUUCUUCCUGUUUCGUCUCUGUAACUGUUAUUUAAGUACGUUUGCCUUCAGGUCCAAAUUAGACAGAGUGUCCACGAAACUGGUGAGCCCAGACUGACAUACAACCUCAGGUAAAAUAGUGGUUGCAGAUAAUUAUUUUGGACAACACACUCUAUUGCAGAACCUCCUGGGCAGUACAGAAGCCCUGAAGGAACUUUGUAAAUCAUGACAGCCCUAGAAAAUGUACACGGUGUGGAUAGGUGAUAAAGAACACCUUUAGCAAGAGUCCAGCAUGUACCUGUGUUAUAAAUUGAACUUAUGUGACAAUAGAACUAUUUUCUCCUUUUCUCACUAUGUGUCCGUGACUUGCUUUUAUUAUCUCAUGCCUGUAGUGGUUUUUGGAAGAGAAACAUUCCAGCCUUGGUUGCAGAGCCUAUAACCUGCAUCAGUUCAUCACCAUGGGCUGAGUAUCUUAAAUAGCAUUAGUAGUAUGUGUUAACAGCAGUUUUUAAAACUCAUUAAUGUGAAAAAAGAAAACUCUGUAUAGCAAAUGCUUUCAUAUUAGUAAGUAUGUAAAAUAUUCAGGCAUUCUUUUAAAAAGUAACCAGUUUACAAAAAUCUAGGAAAGGCAAUCCCAAUCAUGUAGUGAUCUCUAUGAAACCACUUAUUGUAGUUGCUGAUAUAUUGAAUUAAUGCAUGAUUUUAAAAUAUUUUACUCGUGACCCCAUAUAUGUCUACAUAUGGACACCACACAUGGAUUUCCGAGGAUCAUGCAAGAACUCUUAUUGGCUGAGGACCAGCACAUGGCAUCACAAUAAAUGGCAUAAUAAUGUCCACAAAAUAUAUUGCACAUACUCCCUUGAAUCCCCUUUGGGGAGAUAAAGCAGGGUUUAAUAAUAAUAAUAAUAAUAAUAAUAAUAAUAAUAAUAAUAAUAAUAAUAAUAAAGCAACUAUCAUGUUCCCCCUGAGGGGAACACCCCACAGUUUUGGAACCACUGAAUUAAUGGAAAAUUAAAUUUGUAAACCAACUUCACAUUAUAGCCAAAGCCAGAGUAAGGGGGAAAAAUCUGCAUAUAAUUAGAUGGGUAAUUGAGAGGGAGUGUGUGAAUGCUGGGGAAGGAUAAAAGGAAAAGAUAUGGGGAGGGCGGAGGAAGACCAGAUGACUUUGGAUUUGUCAAUGACAUGAAAUCAAAUAAAAAACUGUUGUUGAGUAUCUUGAUAGCUUACCUGCUUCUGCUUGAAAUUUGUUUUCUUGAGUUUACCCCCCCCCCCCCCCCCAAGCUGAACAACUUUAAAGCAUGCAUGCCAAUGGUUAUGCCAUUCCUCUUCACAUGGAGGAGGAAAAAACUUCCACACAGGCUUAAAGUAAUUUAUUAAUUAAUAAUUUGAGAUUAAUCUGGGAUCCUUAAGCAUUUACUUUUAUUUGCAUUAUGAACAAAAUUGCAGCCCAGCAAUGAUGCACCACAGAUCAGUUAAAGUGCCCAGUACUUUUCAGUUGAAAAUCAGUGAAAUUCACUUCCCAAGAAAUGUGUUUAAGAUUGAGAUUUAAAUCUAAGGAUCUCAUUUAAACUCCCAUCUGCAUUACAGGUUAAAGCAAAGGUAUUAUUCCUUUAAAUAUACAUAUAUUUAAUUUUCCCUUCUGGCCCUGGUUUGGAUUUGCAUUAGGAUUGAAGUGCUUUUUCUAACAAAGCUAGUAAAAUGACAUCAACAUUGAAGACCUUCUCUGCACGUGCAUUGAUUAGGCUUUAACAAUUGUGAAAAUGGUGUUGAAUUUAGAAAAGUAACUAGUUGACUUUGCAUUGCCUAGCUGCUUCUUAGCGUAAUCAUUCAAAAUUGCCUUUCUCAAAAUAUAGCCAUAUGUUUUGUAAAGGAUUUGCAGCUUUCCCAUUAUGGCUUAAUAUAGUCAUUUCUUAGUACAUACUGCAGGGAAUGUUGUAACAAUGAAUUGAAAUAAGUUUUCAAUAUGUGCUUUUACAUUAAGUGAAGAUGGAGACUUUUAAAACUUCAGGGUCAAAGAAAGACAUGAUUAGGUAAAAAUAAUGGCAAUUGUCAAGCUUCCAGCAAAUACUUUCCCAGUAAGUCUUAAUGCGACAGCUACACAACAUGUCCCUUGAUUAUGGUUGAUUCAAAUCUUUAUUUAUUUAGGUAAAAGCAGCUUUACUAUUUUCCCAUUCCUCAUGACCUUUAUGUCUCAUUUAGUCUUGAAAUUGACUGCUGCUCAGCAUUUUCCCUCCAUACUAAAAGCUGUUACUCUGCAGGGUUUAUAUUUAAAGCAUGCCAAGCAGCUAUUUACUAGGCUGGGGGGGGGGGGGGGGGGCUGCCUGUCAUGCCACUUACGAGCUUUAUUUAUUUUAACAGUUGCUUGGGAAAUGGUCACCAUCCGCACGUGAUGGCGUGCAUAGGAGGAAAGGAUUUUAUUUUUCUUGGGAUUUCACCAGUUUUGUAUUUAAAUAUUUAAAGCCUUUGGUAUAGAGGGCAUUUUCACAUAUUGUGCUUUUUACCAAGGCUGAGCAUCAAAGUGCUGAGUUGUAAAUCCAGGACAUAGUGAUGGCUGAGCCAGAUGUAGCUCAAAGUCAGGUGAUCUGAACUGUCCAUCCCAACAUCUGGUGUUAUAGCCUACAAUACUAUAUAUGCUAUAUCAAGCCUACAGUCUUAUCUCUCCAUGUUGGUCUCGGUUAGGGUUCACAUAGACCAAUAUCAAGCUAAUAUAAGAAUGUGCCUAAACUAUGUCAAAUUAUGUUAUAUGAUGAACCUCCCCAAAGAAAGUAAGUAAAUGUAUAAACAAUAGUUUCAGUCUCAUAGAUAACUACAAAGACUGUCUGCGUAUUUUCCAGUCAUUUAUCUAUCCAGAAAUUCCAAAAUUUAAGGCUAUCUAGGAAGAGUGUCAGUGUUGAUCUGCCUACUACACAAUGCUGUUUGCAAUCUUGGGAAUUGGAUCUCUAUAUUUUCUGCACUGAAUGGUUUUAACUCUAAGCAAUUUGUCCUAGAUCAGGGGUUUCCAAGCUAAGGCCCGUGGGCUGCAUACAACCCUCCAAGGUCAUUUACCUGGCCUCUGCCCUAAACUUUAUCAGCCAAAAAGCAGGUCCACACUUUCCAUUGAAAUUCUGAUAAGUUUAUGUUGGUUAAAAUUGUUUUUCAUUUUAAAUAUUGUAUUGUUCUUUCAUGCAUUUUUGCACUACAAAUAAGAUGUGUGCAUAGGAAUUAGUUCAUGUUUUUUUCAAACUAUAGUCUGGCCGCCCAACAGUCUGAGGGACUGUUAACCGACCCUAUGCUUAAAAAGUUUGAGGACCACUGUCCUAGGUACUUUAAUGCUUUUCAUCUUUCAGCCUAUCUGCACUUUAGAGUCAAUGCAAUUUGACACCACUUUAAUUGCCAUGGUUCAACACUAUGGCAUCUUGGAAGUUUUGGGGAGACAACAGCGCUAUUCAACAGAGAAGACUAGAUCUUAUAAAACUGCAGUUCCCGUGAUUCCAUAUAAUUGAGCCAUGGCAGUAAAAGUAUUGUCAAACUGCAUUAAUUCUAUAAUGUAGAUAUACCCUUAGCAUCAGAUGUGCAGUCAUUCUUUCUUUGUUUUGUUCAAAGUUUUACCCAGUAGUUAUUAUUUAGCUGAAUCUCCUCUUUUGUCUUUACAGUUGUCAAAUAUAUGUGUAAGAAAUGCUACUGUAUAUUGCUGCAGCUGAGAUAAAAAAUUAUUUCACAUGUUUGCAGUUUCCACACAAUCCCCCAUAUUUAUGUGUUUAUUAAAGCUUCAUUAGAUCUGCAGUACAGAAGAAUCAUACCAAUUGUACUGAUAUAGCAUUGAUGCUUUCAAUUCUAAGCUUUAUACAGAACAAAGCCAAUUUCUGAUUGUGUAGCAUUAGUUAACAAUUCAUGUUUCACAAUGAGCAACAGUUGUUUUCUGAUCUGUUUGAUAUUCUGCGUGGGAGAACAUUGCUUCACUUGAAAAGAUGCUGAUCACAAUCUCACAUUUCUUUCAGUUGAUUUGCUCUUGAGGUUGUGCUUUGAAACUCACUUUUCAGGCACAAUGGUUUUAGAAGAAUUGUUCACAGAUUGUCUGAGAUUGUUGAAAAAUUAUUUUAUAGUGCCCUAUACAAGUUUUAUUUCUCUAGUCUUUCAGUUCAUGAGUAAGCCUGUAUCUGAAGUUUCUAGAGUCCUAUGACUCUAGAAAAUAAAAAAUGAAUGAAAAAAGUAAUAAGACCAACAAUAGAACUAGGAUGACUUCCAAUCAAAAGAAUGUUUACAACAUAAAAUGAUUACUAGCUAUUUUUUUAAAAAAAUAAAUACAUAUAAAUGGAUCUUAAAUGGAUAACGCACAGAAAACAGUUGUGAAAUGAAGCUUUAAACAUAUAUGAAAUAAGCAGUAACUAAAAAUAAGGGGAUGCAAGAGCAUGACUGCAUUGGGAAAGUCAGGGAUUAAUGCUUUCAUGGCCUUUGAAAUUACAGUAGACCAGUAAACACCAGAAAGUGUUUUCCUGGCCAAGUAUGAGAAUUAUUAGUCUCAGCUACCUGGAGAACCAAAGUUCCUUAUGUCAAGACGCAGUACAUCAAGAGAAAAGCUGAAUAUGAGCAGUUAAUAAUAAUAAUAAUUAUUAUUUUAUUCUUAUAUCCCGCCUCCAUCUCCCCGUGGGGACUCGGGGCGGCUUACAAAUGUAGAACAAAAGUACAAUAACAUUGGGAACCGAACAAUAAUGCAAAUGUAAGUUUAAAAAGACAUAAAUAAAAUGUCAACCAUUAAUAAAACACAGGUUAAAAUACAGCAAUAGAAUCAUAAAAAUGGGCUGGGCAAAAGUUCACUAAGUAAGACUUGUAAACAUGGUGGAAGUUAAAGUGCAGUUCUGUCCAUAAAUAUUGACUCUGUGUGUGUGUAUCUAAUGGUCCUUGAAGUUGAUAAUUUAAUAUGAGUAAUUUGAAUUGAGCCCUAUCAGUUUUUGAUGAGGUGUUUAAGUGAUAUAUUUGAUAUACUUGUGUUGUGGAUUCAUUUCUUUCACGUAGUUUCUAUUCACCCUCAAUACUGAUAUGUUUGCUAGAAUAUUUCUGUCUCUGAAUGUUGCUCCCUAGAAAUCAAUUAGCAUUUCAUUGUGUAAAUGCUGCUGCUUUCACAAUGUGUUUGUUAUAUAUUUUAUUAAUCCCUCUGUAAUUUACAUAAAAAUAUCACAAGUAAUGUAAAAAAUAGAAAUUUGAUGGCAGGUAACAUUUUAAGAUAAUUGCACUUUAAUCGCAAAAUUACUCAGCAAUUCACAUAAAUUACAUAUGUCUACAUAAGUGGGAAAUCAGUUAAUUAAUCACAAUUAAUGUAACUCAAAAAUCCUAUGAAUUAAUUAUUGCUGUAUCCACAAAUUUUAAAAGAUUUUGAGAUGAAGUUAACAUCCUAAGUGCAUAUUAUCUAAUUAACCAAUGACAAAAGUACUUCUAUAGGAGGGCAAGAGACACAUUAUCAGAAGGGAAAAACAAAAAGUUUGAAAGUAAAAGGUAUUAAUUCAUGGUAAAAGGAUGUUUUAUAAUGAUCUGCUUCUUUUAUCUGUAAUUUGUCAUGCGCCUAUGACAUGGAAAUGGAUUUUAAAUAAUUUUAGGGCCAUAAGUGUAAUCAUUAUUAUAAUUGUGGAACCAUGUCUUCAUGAACACAAUAAUCCCAAUUCUGGGUUCUUUGAAAAUGUAAGAGCAGUCUGUAAGAUCUACUCCUUGGUGCAUAAAACAUUGCUUGAAUGAACAGUGAGAACAUAAUCAUGCAAUAAACGUUAGCAUAGAGGUGGCCCAGAGUACCUUCUUGAAAAUGAAGAAUAUGAUAAACAAUGAAAACUUGAAAUUAGCCUUCAGAAUUCAUACUGUAUGGUAAUACAAAUUCUCAGAUCUGCCAUAUGGCCAUUUUAAUCAGUUCUACAGUUUGGAGUCAGUAGCUUGUAACACAUUCUACUAUAAAAGGCGAGAAAAGGAGGAAGGAACAUUUUGAAAUGUGAACAUAGCACAUAGUUAUGAAUGGAAAGAAUUUUCAUAAAUAUUUAUAAAAUGUUCAGAUAACAUGUUUUUUGAGUAUUAGGAAAACCUGAUGAGAAGAAUUCUGGAUCAAAGAGAAUAUUGGCAUUGAAAGUCUUAUUCUGUGAAAAAAAUUGGUGUUUGUUUUCCAUACAAAACAUUUCUAUAUUUUUAUAUCUAUCUUCGUCAAUGAAUAUGUUUCUUUUUUCGACUGCUACUUUUUAUUCCUGGGGGUAUUCAUUAUAAUUACACUGUAUACCUUUCAAAACUUGUAAAUGCAGAUGAGUUAGACAGAAGGGCAUGCAGGCAAAAACCAUUAAAUAAUACUCUCCAGUCUUUUGUACAACAGAAUUAUGGUAUUAUUUAGAACACCUUCUAAAAUCUUGUGAACUUGAUAACAACAGCAAACUGUGUUCAUUUUCAGACACUGGCACCAAUCUGAUAAUAGGUUCUGAAUCAUGGCUGUAGCCCUUGACAUUCGCUUUUCUGUGCACAGAUGUAGGUGGACAGUUCAGUCAAUAAAGAGCUAUUCUUCCCAUCCUUGACUCUCUGACACAAGGAAACCUUAUUCUUCAUACAGGUAAAUCUCAAAAGAACCUCUCUGCCACUAUGAACUAUAGACUUGGACAUCUGCUUCUCAUUAAUCAAGCUUUGGAAAAUUGCAGAAAGAAAUCAUAACAUGUCUAUCUGUGGUUCUGGGCUUGGCGUGAGAUAAGAUGAAGUAGGCCCUGAACCAUGAAACAUGUCAGUGUAUAGAUUGCCUUUGGCAAAUAUUUAUAUAUUCAUUUUGUGAAACUUCAAACUGCUCUUCAGAUUUUAUAACUUUAAAAGUGGGGAAUUAAAUGAAAUAAACCAGGGUGUGUCAAAUGGCAGAAAUCAAAUCUGUUUUCGUUCUGUUUUUGUGUCGUUAUUGGCGUUGUCAUCCCCGGUUAUAUUUUUGGGAAGAUUCUGGAAGAGCCAUUCGAAUUCGUAAUUCGGGAUCUGGAGUUCCACUUCAGAAAGAAUCUUCCCAAAAACAGAAAGGGAGGGGACGCAAAAUCAAAAACCAAAACAACAUAAUUCUGCUGUUUCACACACCCCUAAAAUAAACAAUAUCAAUGACUAUCGAUAGCAUCUAUAAAAUGCUGUACUAGGAAUUAAUGGCAUGAACAAAUCAAAUCCAAAACAUGCAAAAUAAUGCAUGCCUGUCCAAAAUCAACCUUUGUGUAAUGGCUUUCCACUGUAUGGAUAUAUAUAAUGAAAAAAGUAGAAACAGCUCAGAUACAAGCAAUAGAACCAGGAUUAAAUGCUUUUAAAGCCUGUUGAAUUCAAUACAUUCAACAUCUUGGCCAGACAGCAGAAGGUGGUGAUAUGAUGCCAAAGAGGCUUCCCAAAUAACAGAAUGUCAUACAUUUUGUGUAUGUCUACAUACUCAGGUAUCUAAUUCUGGCAAAUGAAUUUCUGAAUCUUGAGGCCACCACCAAGAAUGUUGUGCUACCUGUAGGACUGAAUGUCAUUGUGGAUGGUAGUAUCAUGCACAGUCUCAACUGAUAAUCAAAAGUGAUAACUAAAACAUUGUUGCAUUCCCCCCAUGCCCACACUAAAUGUACCUAUGAAAAUAGCGGAAUAACCUCCUCUAAAUAUCUGAAGCAGGUUCAUAUGACAGAAUUUGGUAAUUCGAUUAAUCUGAAUUCAGCUCAUAUAGAGAUUUAUAGGGUAGUAACAAUAGUUCUGUAUUAUGCUCAGAAGCAGACAGGAAACCAAUGUAGUUUUUUGAACAUGGGAGUUGUGUGCUCCCUGUCACUGUCCCUGACUCUUUAGACCACUUGAAGUAUCCAAGCACUCCUCAGGUGAAUGAAGUUUCUUUCUCAGCUAUUCUGAGGACUUAAGCAGAGUGGCUUCAGACUAAUUUGUAUACCAAAUGAUCACUCUGAAAUGUCUUUCAAAAUGCUCCAUAAGGACUGUUGAAUGAGUAGACCCCUCGUGAUUGAACAAAAAGUAACAUUUCAGUGAGUGCUGCUUUGGAAAGAAAUGUUAUUGUAUUCUCAUUGCCUUCAAAUGUAACUUAUUACAGGUAAAACAUCUUUGUUGGUGAUGAUUGCCAGGUCUGAUUACCUUGUCUCCAAACUUCUCUAUGGUUCAAGGCACUCUCUGUGGAGAGAUCUGUUCCUUCAGAUCUCUGAUGACACUGUGGUGUUAUACCACCAAGAUGCUGUGACUAGUAAUGCCAAGUCAACAGACAUACUUCGCCCUGUUUGGGUAUGCACUUGUGAAGGAAAAAUUGGAGUCAGUGUAGUGUAUUAGUCUGAGUAUUGGACUAGGAUAUUAGAGCAGAUCAGGGUUGGAAUCUCUGCUCAGCCAUUGAAACCUACUGGAUAGCCUUGUCUUAUUCACACUUCUGUUAACCCUUAAAAAUAAUUAUUCAAGAACUGAAUAAUUGUGGAUAGACUCACCAGAUGAAUUAUACUUUGGUCCUUCAUUUACUACUGUGUUCCUGUUUCUGCAGUUAGGUUUCCAGCGAAAUUCAAUGAUACAAAAGCAUGGGAGAUUUUUCAGAGCUCAGAUACAAGAUGUGUUUAUGGCAUUCUAGCAUAAAAGAUCCAGGGUUUGACUAGGGCAGUCUUACUUUAGGUUGUCAGACACUGCUAAAGCAGUGAUUCCUACUAAGGCUUACAGUAGUUUUGUGCAAUGAUUAGCUCCCUCUUGACACACACAGAAUAACACUAAUGCUGAACCUGAGAGAUGUGUUUACUUUGUCUGUUGGUUUCAACUGUUCUUAGCUUAUUGCUGGUGGGCAACUAAGAAAAUAAAACAGCACCCCGCAUGCAGAAAUUGUCACAGAGGGAUGGGUAAGAUACACUUUCAGCAGCACAAGCAUAAUUAGAAUAUGAUAAUAUGUGGUUAUAUGAUACUUUAUCAGACUUAGAAGAAGGUUUUUCUUUUAAUUUCACUAGUCUCAUGGUUUGUUUCUUUAUAGAUUUCUGUAUUGUAUUUUAUUAAAAUAUUUAUAUCCUAUAACACAGGACCUCAUGGAGGGAUACAGAAAAAAAUCAUUUUAAAACAAUUUAGGAAAGAAAAUAAAGUUAAUGAGGAAUAAAUCAUACCGUGUAAAAGCUUUGAAACUAUUCAACAGUUAAAUCAAAUAAACCUGCAUAGUUUAUCUUUGCAUUGUGUUGGCUCCACUGCUGGAUGGCUGGAUAUAUCAUCAAAUGCUUCCUUCACACACACAAAAGAGUAGACAAGUUACUUCAUUAUCUGUUUCCAUAACAGCUUCCCUGUAGAGGUCACUUUGACAUCUUAACUUUCAAAAUACUGGAGGAAUUCACAAAGGUUAUUACUCUUAAGUUUCUUUCAUGAUAGCUAAAUUGGAUUUCCUUGUUUAGAGAUAACUUAUAUCUGAAACACAACUGGUAGAAACAGAUCUAUCUUGCCCUCGUUUUUGAUCUUCCAGGACUAUUUGGUGGUGAUGCUGGUCACAGAAUUUACUUAGGUAAAUCUUUGUUUGAUCUAGAAAGUCAGUUUUUAUAUUUUUAAUUUAUAUAGUGUGAUAUCUUUGCCCAGAAAGUCAUUUCACAACCCAAGGAGAGUGAUUUUUUUCUUGGGUUGUUUUAAAUAUUGACUAUUAUGGCAUGAGAUUAAACUGCUGUAGAAACAGAGUGUUCAAGAAUGUCAUUAUUUCUGCAUUUUUCUGCACUAACUUAAUUCCACCUCCAGCACUGACAAAAAGUAUCCUGUGGUUUUUUUUUUCACUUUUCAAUCUGUUACCAUACAGUUCUCAGUUCAAAGAUAUAUCAGGUGUCUUUGAAAAUGUGUAUUUUGGUUAAAGAACAAGGUGGGAUCAUGUUCCAUGAUGCAAUAUAAGAAAUUAGUGUUUUAUUAUAGACUUUCACACAAAAACAUAUUUUCUGAAACAGUAUGUGGGGAAAAUAAUGUGUUUUCAAGCAGUUGUAAUUUUAAAAAAUGAGUUCUUCAUCCAGUUUUUAAAGAUUGAUAUGACUAUGGGACAGAAUGAAUGUAACAUGCAAAACUUACAAACUGGAAAUAGACUGAUUCAUCAGUUCAACACUGAAACACAGAGCCAUGUGGAGGAGGAUUUACUGUGAAGUAGAGAAGAAAAACCAAGACUGUAUAAAACCAAAAUCAUUCAUAAUCUUAGUAGAAAAUUUGCCUGGUAAUUAUUGGGUUGGGAUUGAUGUUUUCAUGUAAGGUUUAUGUGAACAGAAGUUUCAAUGGUAUCACAAACACAGCUUAAAAUUUCCUUCACAGCAAGUGCUAGCAAAACUCAACCAAGCUACUCACUUUCAAAGAGUUUUAGGGAUACAGAACUCCAACAAAAAUGGGGAAAACACAUUUCUAGAGAACACAUCUCUAGAAAUGUCUUAAGGCCCCCAGGUUGGUUGUAUGAUCAGAUACUGCUAGUAGAUGACUAUAGAAUUUCCUUGGAGCACCUUGAGUAUUCUAGAAAAGUGUUCUCUCUAGGAAUCUGUAGUUGCUCCAAUGCAACUUUGGCAAAUUUUUGGCAAAGUUCACUAUAGAAAUGCACUGGAGGAGUGGAAAGUUUCCAAACAUAUUAAUCAAAUGGGUAACUAAUGAAAUCCAUGAAAGUUAAAUCAACAAAUAUGGAGUGCUGACUGCAGUCCAAAAAGAGCACUUUUUCUGGGAAGAAAGUAAAUGCUUUCGCAGGUCAUUUUCCAUAAUAUUUUUGCCAACCCAAAUUUAAAUAACAAGUGUGAUCAAAAUCAAUUCAGAAAUGUGUAUUUAUGAGCAAAUAUACAGAAUCCCAACAGUAACUAGAUACUGUACCUGAAAUAUUUGAAGGAUCUGGUUUAAAACCAAAUCUUUGAGACUCUCUUAUAAAAAAAAUGCUUGGAACCAGAAGGUUUUUUUUUUUUUAGAUUAUUGUUUAAAGACUGGUGUUUUCAUAUACAUAGUGAAUGGGGGAAUGGAGGGGGACUAAUCACAUGGCCAAUUCCCAUUGAGAUUUUCCUCAAUGGGAAAAGAGAAGACUGGUAAGGAAGGAGGUAUUUGCUUACCCAAUCCCCUCUAAAAAGCAGAUGCCCUAGAGUCUCCCCUGGCUGUCAGCACACUUUCCAUCUUUUAGCCAAGUAGCUGGGAAGGGAUGGGGAAAUCUUUUUCCUACAAUUCUGCUGGUGAGUCUUUUUUAUUCUCUCCUGAGGGCCCUCCCACGCAGCCAUAUAACCCAGAAUAUCAAGGCAGAAUAACCCACAAUAUCUGCUUUGAACUGGAAUAUCUGAGUCUACACUGCCAUGUAUCCCAGUUCAAAGCAGAUAAUUUGGGACUUUUUUCAGCUGUGUGGAAGGAUCUGAGCUCAAUACAGGCAGCAGCCAACUAGGUUACUUUGCUAUGACUCUUAAGGCUUCUAGGAUGUCUGUUUUAGUGGAGCCUUGUUUAAGCAGACAGGCCUGAAUCCUUAUUAGUUUUAGCAUUGCUUCUAUCCAGCAUAGUCAUUGAAUUAAAGGAAUUUGCAUAUUUUUUGGUUUGUUGUUGCUGUUCAUUCAGUUCUAGUUGGAUUAGCAAUAGAAUUUCUGCAAGCAUAAGGAAAUACUGGGCAAGAUUCCUGUGGUCAGAAAUACAUAUAUUUUUCUUUGAGUUCUCGGUACAAUAUUUAAGAAAGAUAAGAGCAAGCUGAAAUAGAUGAGAACAGUUGAGAUGAUAGAGUAUGUCAACCUAUUUUCUUAAGUGAUGGGACUUCCCUUCAUUGUAGGCUUUUACACACAGGUUGGAUGAUGAUCUCUCAUUGAUGCCUGAGUUAUGGAUUUGUUUUUUGGCAAUGGAACCCAUUCUAUGUUUGCACUUCUAUAUGAACAUUCAUAGAAAAUCCUAAGAGGGAAAAAGUGGUGGGAAAUAAAGCUUUGUAAUAAAGAGCAAUUAAUAUCCGCCUGGUCAGAAGUGUGGCUAUAACAUUGAAUAAAAUAUAGGUAUUUCUAAACGUCACAUUUCAGGAAUAGCCAAAAGAUAAAGGUUAACCAAGGACAUAGCAGCAUGGAAGAACAUAUCUGAGUGCAUUAGGGAGAUUUAUCUGAACAAUCUAGACUCUGAACAACCAUCAGCUGAAAGGCUGAUUGACAUGUAUAGUGAUUAUUUUUGGUCAAUCACAGUCCAAAGUGAAUUUUAUUUUUUUCAUCAUCCUUCCUUAGUUCUCUUUUUACUUAUUAAACUUUAGGUUGUACCUAUAGCAGCUGUCAGGUAUUUUUCCCAAAGGAGGUGCAGACUCUCUCACUCAGCCAUUAUCUGACAGUUUUGAGGUUCCCCUCUGUAGAGCUUAUGAUGGAAAGGCUAUCAGACAAGCCGGCAAAACAGUUGCAGUUGCCACAGCAUUGCACUUCCUAGUGGGAAAGGGAACAGUCAGUCUCAAAACACUGGUCUGACUGACACUAUCCAACUGUUUUGCAAAGUGUGCUCAAAAGUUCAGACAGGGAAUAGCGUUGAUUGACUAGAGCUAAGCAAAGGCUAAAUGUCAGCCUUUCAUGUCUAAACUUGUUCCAGUUCUCUUAACAGGCUGACAGAUAAAGUGAUGUCUAGAAUGAAGACUGACAAAGAAGUAAAGAUUGAAGGAGAGUGUAGAAGAGGAUGGCUGCAUUAAGCAUUUAGAAGUUAAUCCAAGGAUUAGAUUUUUAAAACGUAUUGCUCAUAUUUUAAAUCAGGAUACAAUUAAUACAUGAAAAGGAGAUCAAGCUAGUACUCCCGUGGUAUGAAAUUUCAAACCAAAUAAAUGAUUUUCAGUUGUCCUCAAAUCCAGUAGUGCCGGUGGCCUGCUCUUGUUCAUGCUCUGUGAUCUGUACUGUUUACUCAAUGCUUUACUAGGAGUGGAAAUAUUUGCUAUUACUUACUUUUGUGAUCCAGAAAAUGAAUUUCCCAACAUGUGGGCAUGUGCUCAUGAACUCAGAAGCAAUUUCUUUUGCAGUUUUUGUACUCACAUAUUCCUAGGUUUUUCAGAAAAUUAUUUUGCACAAAAAUACAAAGGAUAAGGUUUGUGCCAAAACCAUGGGAUUUGAACAGAAAAUAUGUUUUUCAUACAAGUUUCCAGAAUAUGCUUUUGUGUAAAAAAAAAAUGGUUGCUGUUUUUUUUAACAAAACAUUACUUUUGCUGAAAAAUAAAACAUGUAUUUUUUAGAAACUCUUCGUAGAAAUGUGUGCGCUUUUCCUUCAAAAAAUCAUGGGUUUUAUUCAAAACACACAAAAAAGCCACAUGUAGAUUUUUGCAUGAAAUGUUUAUGUCAUUCCCCCCCCCCACACACACAC